rnacentral:misc_RNA from 1 species
UCCCGGUUGGCCCGGGCAGUCUCGCAUGAAAAAUACAACAUACGAUAAGGGUUGCGCUCGUUGCGGGACUUAACCCAACAUCUCACGACACGAGCUGACGACGGCCAUGCAGCACCUGUCACCUAGCUUCCGAAGACACUCCCCUGUUUCCAGGGGAUUCUAGGGAUGUCAAGCCUCGGUAAGGUUCUACGCGUAGCGUCAUAUUAAACCACAUCCUCCUCUGCUUGUGCGGGUCCCCGUCAAUUCCUUUGAGUUUUAACCUUGCGGUCGUACUUCCCAGGCGGCAUACUUAUCGCGUUAGCUGCGACGCACAGGGGGUCGAUACCCCAUACGUCUAGUAUGCAUCGUUUACGGCGUGGACUAC